GACCCGGCAACUUAGUUGGUAAAGCACUUGUCUAGCGAAUAAGGGUCGUGAGUUCAAAUCUCACCUGAGCUG
rnacentral:tRNA from 1 species